CCUCCUUAUACGAUUUAGGACUUAUUUGUUCGUAGUGUCCACACAGAUGAUUGUUAGUUAGUUUCACCUUUGGGUUUAACUGAUUAAUAUGCUCUUUAAAAAUUUGGAAAAGCUGAUAAUAAAAUUCGUAUGAAUACAGUGUAUUUGUACAGAGUUUUCAAAAGUAAAAAAGAAUGAUAGCAGUAUCAUUCAGUGCCAUUUAAUAAACGUUUCGUUUGUUGAUUGGUAUCUACUUUAGUAUUCAAUAUUAACUUCUGGCGAAGUUAAACUGUCACAAAACAAAGACCCGUUUGGGUUGUAUGGUUAAGUGACUAAGCGUACACGGUGGAUGCCU
rnacentral:misc_RNA from 1 species